AUAAAGACUGUGAAGAGGACUAGUAAGCCUCGUGCUGGCAGCCCAGAGAGCGGGGGCAGGUGUGAGCCCCGUCUGCACAACGAAGUUGAAUGGACCUCGGAGUCGCGAGACGAACGUGAAUACCAGUAGUCUACGCCGGAGUUGCCACCGUUAUCACGGCAAAGGGUAUAAGCCGUUACACCCCGGGUUAUGGGCCGGUAACGACCGUACCCGAUACGAGUGAGGCUGGCCUCAUAAACCCGCUGCAUCGCCAGCGGGUUUUGUACUCUGGCAGCCUAACCGGGGUGGCACCACGGACUGAGCGCGUUCGUCCCCAUG
rnacentral:ncRNA from 1 species